rnacentral:rRNA from 1 species
UAGGGAAUCUUCCACAAUGGGCGCAAGCCUGAUGGAGCAACACCGCGUGAGUGAAGAAGGGUUUCGGCUCGUAAAGCUCUGUUGUUAAAGAAGAACACGUAUGAGAGUAACUGUUCAUACGUUGACGGUAUUUAACCAGAAAGUCGCGGCUAACUACGUGUCA